rnacentral:rRNA from 1 species
AACGACUGCUAAUACCGUAUACGCCCUCCGGGGGAAAGAUUUAUCGGUGAAAGAUGGGGCCGCGUUAGAUUAGCUAGUUGGUGAGGUAAUGGCUCACCAAGGCGACGAUCUAUAGCUGGUCUGAGAGGAUGAUCAGCCACACUGGGACUGAGACACGGCCCAGACUCCUACGGGAGGCAGCAGUGGGGAAUAUUGGACAAUGGGGGCAACCCUGAUCCAGCCAUGCCGCGUGAAUGAUGAAGGCCUUAGGGUUGUAAAAUUCUUUCGCUAGGGAUGAUAAUGACAGUACCUAGUAAAGAAGCCCCGGCUAACUCCGUGCCAGCAGCCGCGGUAAUACGGAGGGGGCUAGCGUUGUUCGGAAUUACUGGGCGUAAAGCGUGCGUAGGCGGAUUAUUAAGUUAGGGGUGAAAUCCCGGGGCUCAACCUCGGAACUGCCUCUAAAACUGGUAAUCUAGAGAUAUGGAGAGGUAAGUGGAAUUCCUAGUGUAGAGGUGAAAUUCGUAGAUAUUAGGAGGAACACCAGAGGCGAAGGCGGCUUACUGGACAUAUACUGACGCUGAGGCACGAAAAGUGUGGGUAGCAAACAGGAUUAGAUACCCUGGCAGUCCACACCGUAAACGAUGAGAGCUAGUUGUCUGC